CCUACGGGAGGCAGCAGUCGAGAAUCAUUCACAAUGGGGGAAACCCUGAUGGUGCGACGCCGCGUGGGGGAAUGCAGGUCUUCGGAUUGUAAACCCCUGUCAUGUGGGAGCAAAUCACAAAGAUAGUACCACAAUAGGAAGAGACGGCUAACUCUGUGCCAGCAGCCGCGGUAAUACAGAGGUCUCAAGCGUUGUUCGGAAUCACUGGGCGUAAAGGGUGCGUAGGCUGUUUCGUAAGUCGUGUGUGAAAGGCGGGGGCUCAACCCGCGGACGGCACAUGAUACUGCGGGACUAGAGAAAAGGAGCGGGAACCGGAAUUCUCGGUGUAGCAGUGAAAUGCGUAGAUAUCG
rnacentral:rRNA from 1 species